rnacentral:rRNA from 1 species
AUGUCACUAGUUGUUGGGGAUUCAUUUCCUUAGUAACGUAGCUAACGCGUGAAGUUGACCGCCUGGGGAGUACGGUCGCAAGAUUAAAACUCAAAGGAAUUGACGGGGACCCGCACAAGCGGUGGAUGAUGUGGAUUAAUUCGAUGCAACGCGAAAAACCUUACCUACCCUUGACAUGGUCGGAAUCCUGCUGAGAGGUGGGAGUGCUCGAAAGAGAACCGGCGCACAGGUGCUGCAUGGCUGUCGUCAGCUCGUGUCGUGAGAUGUUGGGUUAAGUCCCGCAACGAGCGCAACCCUUGUCCUUAGUUGCUACGCAAGAGCACUCUAAGGAGACUGCCGGUGACAAACCGGAGGAAGGUGGGGAUGACGUCAAGUCCUCAUGGCCCUUAUGGGUAGGGCUUCACACGUCAUACAAUGGUCGGAACAGAGGGUUGCCAACCCGCGAGGGGGAGCUAAUCCCAGAAAACCGAUCGUAGUCCGGAUUGCACUCUGCAACUCGAGUGCAUGAAGCUGGAAUCGCUAGUAAUCGCGNGAUCAGCAUGCCGCGGU